GUCUUUGCAGUCAGUUGGCGCUAUGAGAGCUCUGUUAACUCCUCUAAAGCUCCCGUUAAAAAAAGCGAAUCCUUGGGGCCAAAGACACCGCUGAUCGGAUGUGCAGAGACAGUGCACUAAUCCACUGAAAACCCUGUCUGCGGUCCAGCUGACUGAACACCGGAGAAAAAUAAGGCAGUAAAAUGGUAAACACUGGCCAUUUUGAACAGGGUUUCCCCAGGACUCGCACGAGAGCUCUUAAUGAGUCUUCCACCCAUCAUAGCAACAUGCAGCAUCCUAUCAAGUGCCUCCCAAGUGAAAAAGGCCAAAUAAGAAAGCAGGCACCUGGGGGAGAGGAACAUCUGUGUG
ensembl:lncRNA